UACGGGGGGGGCAAGCGUUGUUCGGAAUUACUGGGCGUAAAGGGCUCGUAGGCGGCCAACUAAGUCAGACGUGAAAUCCCCAGGCUCAACCUGGGAACUGCGUCUGAUACUGGAUGGCUUGAAUCCGGGAGAGGGAUGCAGAAUUCCAGGUGUAGCGGUGAAAUGCGUAGAUAUCUGGAGGAACACCGGUGGCGAAGGCGGUAUCCUGGACCAACACUGACGCUGAGGAGCGAAAGCCAGGGGAGCAAACGGG
rnacentral:rRNA from 1 species